AGUGAACGCUGGCGGCGUGCUUAACACAUGCAAGUCGAACGAGAACGGAUUAUAGCUUGCUAUAAUUGUCAGCUAAGUGGCGCACGGGUGAGUAAUGUAUAGGUAAUAUGCCUCUUACUAAGGGAUAACAAUUGGAAACGUUUGCUAAUACCUUAUACUCCUUAUUAACAUAAGUUAAUAAGGGAAAGAUUUAUUGGUAAGAGAUUAGCCUGUAUUGUAUCAGUUAGUUGGUGGGGUAAUGGCUUACCAAGACUAUGACACAUAACUGGUUUGGGAGGAUGAUCAGUCACAAUGGAACGGAGACACGGACCAGACUCCGACGGGAGGCAGCAGGAGGGAAUAUUGCACAAUAGACGAAAGUGUGAUGCAGCAACGCCGCGUGGAGGAUGACACAUUUCGGUGCGUAAACUCCUUUUAUAUGAGAAGAAAAUGACGGUAUUAUAUGAAUAAGCACCGGCUAACUCCGUGCCAGCAGCCGCCGUAA
rnacentral:rRNA from 1 species